rnacentral:rRNA from 1 species
UACGAGGGGGGCGAGCGUUGUCCGGAUUUAUUGGGCGUAAAGAGCGUGUAGGCGGCCAGGUAGGUCUGCUGUGAAAACUCGAGGCUUAACCUCGAGCUGUCGGCGGAAACCAUCUGGCUAGAGUCCGGAAGAGGAGAAUGGAAUUCCCGGUGUAGCGGUGAAAUGCGCAGAUAUCGGGAAGAACACCCGUGGCGAAGGCGGUUCUCUGGGACGGUACUGACGCUGAGACGCGAAAGCGUGGGGAGCGAACAGG